rnacentral:rRNA from 1 species
AAUGAACGCUGGCGGCGUGCUUAACACAUGCAAGUCGAACGAGAAACCCCGUUUCGGCGGGGGAGUAAAGUGGCGCACGGGUGAGUAACGCGUGGGUAAUCUACCCCCGAGUUGGGGAUAACAUGCCGAAAGGUGUGCUAAUACCAAAUAAGACCACGUCCGCUUCGGCGGAUGGGUCAAAGAUGGCCUCUGCCUGCAAGCUGUCGCUUGGGGAUGAGCCCGCGUCCCAUUAGCUGGUUGGUGGGGUAAUGGCCUACCAAGGCAACGAUGGGUAGCUGGUCUGAGAGGAUGGCCAGCCACACUGGAACUGGAACACGGUCCAGACUCCUACGGGAGGCAGCAGUGAGGAAUUUUGCGCAAUGGGGGAAACCCUGACGCAGCAACGCCGCGUGAGUGAAGAAGGCCUUCGGGUUGUAAAGCUCUGUCAAGUGGGAAGAAUAGGUCCGGUUGAAUAGGCCGGAAUACUGACGGUACCACUGGAGGAAGCACCGGCUAACUCCGUGCCAGCCGCCGCAGUAACAC